rnacentral:rRNA from 1 species
GACGAACGCUGGCGGCGUGCUUAACACAUGCAAGUCGAACGCUGAAGACCUGGCUUUUGUUGGGUUGGAUGAGUGGCGAACGGGUGAGUAACACGUGAGUAACCUGCCCUCUUCUUUGGGAUAACGCCCGGAAACGGGUGCUAAUACUGGAUAUUCACUGAUCUUCGCAUGGGGGUUGGUGGAAAGGUUUGUUCUGGUGGGGGAUGGGCUCGCGGCCUAUCAGCUUGUUGGUGGGGUGAUGGCCUACCAAGGCUUUGACGGGUAGCCGGCCUGAGAGGGUGACCGGUCACGUUGGGACUGAGAUACGGACCAGAAUCCUACGGGAGGCAGCAGUGGGGAAUAUUGCACAAUGGGCGAAAGCCUGAUGCAGCGACGCCGCGUGAGGGAUGGAGGCCUUCGGGUUGUAAACCUCUUUCGCUCAUGGUCAAGCCGAAACUGUGGGUUGUGGUGAGGGUAGUGGGUAAAGAAGCGCCGGCUAACUACGU